rnacentral:lncRNA from 1 species
GGAGUGGGCCGGGCUGCCACCAGGGGUGCAAGCGUGUGGUGGACCAGGCAGAGGCUGAGAUCAUCCAGCUGCUGAAGCAGCCAAUUUGAGCAUCAUGAAGAUGAGCCAGAAGAGGCUGUGCUCUUUUUGCAUGAUGCUCUUUGCCUUCCCUAUCAGAGCCAUAACCAGAAAGCCAUCACUUAAUGAUGUGAUGGCCACCUUCACAUACUAUAUGAGGUCAACUAGAAAUUGCAGAACAACUUUUGAAAGCAACAAUGAGUUACCUGCUUGGAGGGGGAAUGAAGCAGGGAGGCAAUACAAUAGUUGAAAUCUCCCUAAAACUGGCCAGUAUCUAUGCUGCUCAAAUAGACAAGGCUUUCCUCUCACUGGCCAUGAAUUCUGCAUUUCACCUCUAAAGGAAAGAACUGAACAAGAAAAAGAAAUAGCAGAAGACGUUAUGUCAGUGGAAGAAAAAGACAAUACCCACCCCCUUCUGGGCAUGUGCUUAGACUCCUGUGCCUGCUGCCUUCUGUUCUCAAACAGCCAUCAUAGGCACAAAGGGUGUCUGGGGAAGCUCUGCGGAUUUCUGAAGAAAUACAAGGAGAAAGAUACUCACAGACCAUUGUGCUCACGAAUGACCUGGCUACUACUCUGGAUGCACAGAGUUGAGCACUUCGAUGAGGCCUAUAUUUAUGUGCAAAGGGCAUCAGAUCUGGCAUGGUAGACAAAUCGUCCUGUGCUGCAAUCUAGCUGCAAUUUU